rnacentral:lncRNA from 1 species
ACUGAUGUAUUCAACGAGUCUAUAGCCUUGGCCGAUAGGCCCGGGUAAUCUUUGAAAUUUCAUCAUGAUGGUGAUAGAUCAUUGCAAUUGUUGAUCUUCAACGAGGAAUUCCUAGUAAGUGCGAGUCAUCAGCUCACGUUGACUACGUCCCUGCCCUUUGUACACACCGCCCGUCGCUCCUACCGAUUGAAUGGUCCGGUGAAGUGUUCGGAUUGCGGCGACGUGGGCGGUUCGCUGCCCGCGACGUUGUGAGAAGUCCACUGAACCUUAUCAUUUAGAGAAAGGAGAAAUCGUAACAAGGUUUUCGUAGGUGAACCUGUAGAAG